ACACCACCUUUAUCUCAAGAGCUCUCGUAUCAGUCAAUCCGUGCAAGAAGGCAAGCGCUUUGCCAAUUGAAAACAGGCGCCGCCCAGACACUGCGCUGAUAGGAAAGGACCCACUGCACGGAGUUUCUCGGCCGCACGAGCUGCGGCCACAAAACAGCAUCGCACCUCAGUGCACGUAUAACCCGCAGUGCGUCAGACAAAUGAACGAACGACAGGUGCAUCUAUGCAGACUCUCUGCGAGUUGAGCAGCCGUGGUACUUUCCAUUGUGACCGAACGUCGUGCCUUUCACGAAUUACGUUCAGGGCUGCCUAAUGUGCGCCUGCCUCAGCUGCUGCGCUAUCUUCGAGCGCCUGAUAAUGAAGUCGAGUGCGGGUUUUAUCAGUCUUGAAGAAACCGGACAUAGUCAAAGGCCAGACGUAUCUCAUCUGUAGCGUGCCACUUGGCCUUAGCGGCAUAACGUCAAGUUGGUGAGUCUCGUUCGUUCCAUUCGUCGCCCGCCUGAGUCCGUGUUGCAGAUAUGGAGCGUGGGCUCCUCACCCAAGCAGUGCAGCGGCGCCUGUACUGCCGCACACCACUGGUGGAAAGCCUGCUGUUGCACAGGAGCUACGUGCCGGAAGUGCCUGUCUUCUUGAAGCUUGAGAACUCCCAGUACACAGGAUCAUUCAAGCUGCGCGGACUAAGCCGGCUAUGCCAGCACAUGACCACCGGAUGUUGGUGGAGCCAUCGUGCGGCGCAACCUUGUCCGCUAUCUACAGUGGCUUGGCUUCCCAACUCUACCGCCAGGGUCGCCUCGAUGCUUCCCCCAAGCGACCCCUCGUGGCCAUUGUGUGCGGCGGAAGUGCAGCCACGCUCUGCCAGCUUGACGUCUGGAAGAACACUGCUGAAUCCAACGCGCGGAUCUCCGCGCAUUUCAUGGGAUAGGACACAACGUGACUUGUCGAUUAACUUAUGCUAUUAAUACUUACCACCGCGUUGUAAGUGUUCUGAAGAAUUACAUAAAAAGAAGACUUACAAAUUGAAAUUUGCUUGCAUCAUAAACUA